AGCAGCCGCGGUAAUUCCAGCUCCAAUAGCGUAUAUUAAAGUUGCUGCGGUUAAAAAGCUCGUAGUUGAAUUUCGGGACCAUCAUGUCGGUCGUACCUCGGUACGUACUGGCAUUGUUGGUUUCUCCCUUCUGACGAACCAUGAUGUCAUUAAUUUGGUGUUGCGGGGAAUUUGGACUGUUACUUUGAAAAAUUAGAGUGUUUAAAGCAAGCUAACGCUUGAAUACAUUAGCAUGGAAUAAUGAAAUAGGACGUUCGAUCCUAUUUUGUUGGUUUCUAGGAUUGACGUAAUGAUUAAUAGGGAUAGUUGGGGGCAUUAGUAUUCAAUUGUCAGAGGUGAAAUUCUUGGAUUUAUUGAAGACUAACUGCUGCGAAAGCAUUUGCCAAGGAUGUUUUCAUUAAUCAAGAACGAAAGUUAGGGGAUCGAAGACGAUCAGAUACCGUCGUAGUCUUAACCAUAAACUAUGCCGACUAGGGAUCGGA
rnacentral:rRNA from 1 species